GAUGAGGAUAGGCUCGCGUGACAUUAGCUAGACGGCGGGGUAACGGCCCACCGUGGCGACGAUGUCUAGGGGUUCUGAGAGGAAGGUCCCCCACACUGGAACUGAGACACGGUCCAGACUCCUACGGGAGGCAGCAGUGAGGAAUAUUGGUCAAUGGCCGGAAGGCUGAACCAGCCAUGCCGCGUGAAGGUCAGUGCCCUAUGGGCGUUAAACUUCUUUUGUGCGGGAGCAAUAAGGGCCACGCGUGGCCUGACGAGAGUACCGUACGAAUAAGCAUCGGCUAACUCUGUGCCAGCAGCCGCGGUAAUACGGGGGAUGCAAGCGUUAUCCGGAUUUAUUGGGUUUAAAGGGUGCGUAGGCUGUGAGGUAAGUCAGCGGUGAAAUGCCCCCGCUCAACGGGGUGAAGUGCCAUUGAUACUGCCUUGCUGGAAUGCGGAUGCCGUGGGAGGAAUGUGUGGUGUAGCGGUGAAAUGCAUAGAUAUCACACAGAACACCGAUUGCGAAGGCAUCUCACGAAUCCGCGAUUGACGCUGAUGCACGAAAGCGUGGGUAUCAAACAGGAUUAGAUACCCUGGUAGUCCACGCUGUAAACGAUGAUGACUAACCGUCGGCGAUACACAGUCG
rnacentral:rRNA from 1 species